UAAUCCACUGUAGUUUAUGUGAAUGAGGGUUUUGUAAGUCUUUGGAGGGGGUGGG
rnacentral:tRNA from 1 species